AUGGAGAUGAGCCUGCUGAGAAGCCGGACCCUCGCUCCACUCCCAUUGACGCCCCGGCCGGUCUCCGCCCAGCGCCGCCGCCGCCGGCGGCUUCCCUCCGUAACAUUCUUCCCGCCGCAGCCUCCUCCGCCAAGCCGAGGGGACAGGGCGUGCAGCAGCGCAAUGCGGCAGCGGCAGGAGUGGGUGGGGGACUGGGUCCGGAGCAACGACACGCUCGUCCGCGCCCUCCCCAUCCUCGUCGGCGGCGCGUCACUCCUCGCCGUCCUCCUCAACCGCGCCGUUUCCGGCAUCGCCGCCGUCUCCGACGCCUCCAGUUCGCAGUCGAGGGCCGACAUACUCACCUUGGCGCUCUCUGUAACUGACAUCCUUGCCGGCCUUGUUUGGCUGUCAAUCCGCCCGAAAACCAUUUCUCCGGUCGUUCCUCGAGGUGUCGAUUGUAAGCGAGUGGAUGCGGAUGUAUCAAGUUCUGCUCUUCGUGAACUACUUUGGACAUGGGACUCCCUGACGGCUGCAACUUGUUGCAAAUCCUUGGUUGUUGUGUAUGGAGGUAAUUGCAAACUUCAAAUUGGGGUUGCUGCUGCCUCUCCAGAAGAUGGUAAUGCUGUUAAUGUGGAUGCACAGAAGUUCAUGCAAGGUUCCCUUUACAAGAGUGCCAUGGAAUCCAAGAAGCAAUCUUAUCUAGCAAAUCUUGCUUUAUAUCCUGGAAGGACUGAGUUGCCAUUUCUACCAGCUAACACACAGGCUCUAAUAUUGCAGCCAAUUGGUGACAAAGGAAUUGCAGUAAUUGGUGGUGACACUAUAAGGGGCUUCACCAAUCUUGAUCAGGCAUGGAUUGACCAUAUUUGCUGGAUCCCAGAAGUCAUCGAGGUACAUGUGGGAGCUGAAAACGGAGUUUACAAAAGAACAUCUCCCACACCCUAA
rnacentral:rRNA from 1 species